UACGUAGGUGGCAAGCGUUGUCCGGAAUUAUUGGGCGUAAAGCGCGCGCAGGCGGCCUCUUAAGUCUGAUGUGAAAUCUUGCGGCUCAACCGCAAGCGGCCAUUGGAAACUGGGGGGCUUGAGUACAGAAGAGGAGAGUGGAAUUCCACGUGUAGCGGUGAAAUGCGUAGAUAUCUGGAGGAACACCGGUGGCGAAGGCGGCAUCCUGGACCGGUAUUGACGCUGAGGCGCGAAAGCCAGGGGAGCAAACGGGG
rnacentral:rRNA from 1 species